rnacentral:rRNA from 1 species
UACGUAGGGUGCAAGCGUUAUCCGGAUUCACUGGGUUUAAAGGGUGCGUAGGCGGGCAAGUAAGUCAGUGGUGAAAUCUCCGGGCUUAACUCGGAAACUGCCGUUGAUACUAUUUGUCUUGAAUAUCAUGGAGGUAAGCGGAAUAUGUCAUGUAGCGGUGAAAUGCUUAGAUAUGACAUAGAACACCGAUAGCGAAGGCAGCUUACUACAUGUUCAUUGACGCUGAGGCACGAAAGCGUGGGGAGCAAACAGG